rnacentral:rRNA from 1 species
AACGAACGCUGGCGGCAGGCCUAACACAUGCAAGUCGAGCGGACCCUUCGGGGUUGGCGGCGGACGGGUGAGUAACGCGUGGGAACGUGCCCUUUGCUUCGGAAUAGCCCUGGGAAACUGGGAGUAAUACCGGAUACGCCCUUUUGGGGAAAGAUUUAUCGGCGAAGGAUCGGCCCGCGUUGGAUUAGGUAGUUGGUGGGGUAAUGGCCUACCAAGCCGACGAUCCAUAGCUGGUUUGAGAGGAUGAUCAGCCACACUGGGACUGAGACACGGCCCAGACUCCUACGGGAGGCAGCAGUGGGGAAUCUUAGACAAUGGGGGAAACCCUGAUCUAGCCAUGCCGCGUGAGCGAUGAAGGCCUUAGGGUUGUAAAGCUCUUUCACCGGGGAAGAUAAUGACGGUACCCGGAGAAGAAGCCCCGGCUAACUCCGUG